rnacentral:rRNA from 1 species
UGAUUGUUUAACUAUGGCAGUAGGAAAUGUUAAGACGGCUUAGCUGCAUAAACUAAUUCUAUAAAGGUCACUUUAAGUUUUCUUUUGUGCUGAUUAGCAGCUAGUAUUUUAGUAGAACUAACGUUUUUUAAGAGGUCGUUUUAUAGGAGGGGAUAGGACACAGUGCCAGCAUCCGCGGUUAAUCUGUUUUCUCUGUUUUCUCUUGAGUGCAGCAGCGGGCAUAUAUAAACAAGUCUAGGUGAAAUUUUCUUGUUUUUACUCUACAUGCUCGAAGUCUAGUGUAAGGUAGUGCUUAGCAACAGGGAUUAGAUACCCCAUUAGCAGCUACUGUAUUAAUUCUAGUUUUGUAACUAAAAUAGUUUGGCAGCGAGUUACUCUUACUGGGGGAAGGUGUGUUAUAAAGGACGGUCCGCCUAUCAAUUUGCCUGUGCCAUGUUGGUGUAUAUCUGGUUUGAUAUUAUUGCUUAAUAGCUUGAAUUUGUGUAGUAUUAGUUAAGCCAAGUCUAUGUGCUGCUUGUACAGGAUUGCAUGCGUUACUGUUAUAAAGAAUCGCGUGAGAUUGCGUUUAAUUCAGGACUCAGAAGUAAGAUAAGAUAAGGUUGUUUAUCUGAACAGGGUUUAACUCGGGUACACACCGCCCGUCACCCUCGGCAUAUGUUGAGGUAAGUCGUAACAUGGUAACCCUAGAUGAAUUUGGGGUUAAUUGCUC